UACGUAGGGUGCGAGCGUUGUCCGGAAUUACUGGGCGUAAAGCGCGCGUAGGCGGUUUGAUAAGUCAGAUGUGAAAUCCCCGGGCUUAACCUGGGAAUGGCAUUUGAUACUGUCUGACUCGAGUGUGGUAGAGGGAAGUGGAAUUCCGCAUGUAGCGGUGAAAUGCGUAGAUAUGCGGAGGAACACCAGUGGCGAAAGCGGCUUCCUGGACCAACACUGACGCUGAGGUGCGAAAGCGUGGGGAGCAAACAGG
rnacentral:rRNA from 1 species